rnacentral:rRNA from 1 species
GAUGAACGCUAGCUACAGGCUUAACACAUGCAAGUCGAGGGGAAACGGUAUUGGAAGCUUGCUUCCGAUAGGCGUCGACCGGCGCACGGGUGAGUAACGCGUAUCCAACCUGCCCAUCACUUGGGGAUAACCUUGCGAAAGUAAGACUAAUACCCAAUGACGUCUCUAGAAGACAUCUGAAAGAGAUUAAAGAUUUAUCGGUGAUGGAUGGGGAUGCGUCUGAUUAGCUUGUUGGCGGGGUAACGGCCCACCAAGGCGACGAUCAGUAGGGGUUCUGAGAGGAAGGUCCCCCACAUUGGAACUGAGACACGGUCCAAACUCCUACGGGAGGCAGCAGUGAGGAAUAUUGGUCAAUGGACGAGAGUCUGAACCAGCCAAGUAGCGUGCAGGAUGACGGCCCUAUGGGUUGUAAACUGCUUUUAUAAGGGAAUAAAGUGGGAGUCGUGACUCUUUUGCAUGUACCUUAUGAAUAAGGACCGGCUAAUUCCGUG